rnacentral:rRNA from 1 species
AACGAACGCUGGCGGCAGGCUUAACACAUGCAAGUCGAACGCAUCCUUCGGGGUGAGUGGCAGACGGGUGAGUAACGCGUGGGAAUAUGCCCUUCGGUUCGGAAUAACACAGGGAAACUUGUGCUAAUACCGGAUACGAUCUACGGAUGAAAGAUUUAUCGCCGAGGGAGUAGCCCGCGUAGGAUUAGCUAGUUGGUGAGGUAAUGGCUCACCAAGGCGACGAUCCUUAGCUGGUCUGAGAGGAUGAUCAGCCACACUGGGACUGAGACACGGCCCAGACUCCUACGGGAGGCAGCAGUGGGGAAUAUUGGACAAUGGGCGAAAGCCUGAUCCAGCCAUGCCGCGUGAGUGAUGAAGGCCUUAGGGUUGUAAAGCUCUUUCGCCAGGGAAGAUAAUGACGGUACCUGGAAAAGAAGCCUCGGCUAACUCCGUGCCAGCCGCCGCGGUAA